ensembl:snRNA U6 U6 spliceosomal RNA
GUGUUUUCGUCCACACAGACUAAAACUAGAAUGACAUAGAGGAGAUGAGCCUGGCCCCUGUGCAAGGACGACACGCAAAAUCGUGAAAUGUUCCAUGUUCUU